rnacentral:rRNA from 1 species
GAUCAUGGCUCAGGAUGAACGCUAGCUACAGGCUUAACACAUGCAAGUCGAGGGGAAACGGCAUUGAGUGCUUGCACUCUUUGGACGUCGACCGGCGCACGGGUGAGUAACGCGUAUCCAACCUUCCCAUUACUGUGGGAUAACCUGCCGAAAGGCAGACUAAUACCGCAUAGUCUUCGUUGACGGCAUCAGAUUUGAAGUAAAGAUUUAUCGGUAAUGGAUGGGGAUGCGU